UUUUAUGAGAGUUUGAUCCUGGCUCAGGACGAACGCUGGCGGCGUGCCUAAUACAUGCAAGUCGAACGCUUCUUUUUCCAACGGAGCUUGCUCCACCGGAAAAAGAAGAGUGGCGAACGGGUGAGUAACACGUGGGUAACCUGCCCAUCAGAAGGGGAUAACACUUGGAAACAGGUGCUAAUACCGUAUAACAAUCAAAACCGCAUGGUUUUGAUUUGAAAGGCGCUUUCGGGUGUCGCUGAUGGAUGGACCCGCGGUGCAUUAGCUAGUUGGUGAGGUAACGGCUCACCAAGGCCACGAUGCAUAGCCGACCUGAGAGGGUGAUCG
rnacentral:rRNA from 1 species